AGCCUUUUUCAAAAUGCCGGCGGUGGCAGGGAAGGUUGUCUGGUCCAGAGGCUUCCCUAGGGUGAAGAGCUCUACUAUGUAUGCUUUAUGCGGCAGAGGGAGUGCUUUGGAGGAGUUUUUAAAUUUCUGUUUUUUUAAAAAAUCUUAUCCCAUCGGUUUUAAUUGUAGCAAUGAUUCAAGAAACGUUGGUAGGUGCCCAUAACUUUGGUGGUGGAGAUCCAAAAGUGAACAAGACAGUGUUCUGGCUGCUAAGUUCUUCUUAACUGGUUAUGCCUGGAGACCUUCACUUGGUUCUAUGCCAGCACUGCCCAUGAACUUCAUAGACUGAUCUUUGCUAAGGCCUAAAUGAAUGAAGGUGCGGGACUGGAAGCAGAAGACAGAAAGUGGAGACCAAAUGUUUGAAGCUGGGUAAAGGCAGGGAUGGAGCAGGAACCGAGGAACAAACCUUGGAACUAGGUAAGUUUCCUGAGGCCUCCCCAGAAGUAGAAGCCUGUACAGUCCACAGAACCGUAAGUCAAUUAAACCUUUUUUCUUUAUAAAUUACCCAGUCUUAGGUAGUUCUUUAUAACAGUA
rnacentral:lncRNA from 1 species